rnacentral:rRNA from 1 species
UACAGAGGUCCCAAGCGUUGUUCGGAUUCAUUGGGCGUAAAGGGUGCGUAGGUGGCGGGGUUAGUCAGGUGUGAAAUCUCGGGGCUCAACCCCGAAACUGCACUUGAUACUGCCUUGCUAGAGUACUGGAGAGGAGAUUGGAAUUUACGGUGUAGCAGUGAAAUGCGUAGAUAUCGUAAGGAAGACCAGUGGCGAAGGCGAAUCUCUGGACAGUUACUGACACUGAGGCACGAAGGCCAGGGGAGCAAACGGG